rnacentral:rRNA from 1 species
GAUGAACGCUGGCGGCGUGCUUAACACAUGCAAGUCGAACGAAGCACCUCUCCCGAAGAUUGACACAGCUUGCUGUAGAUUGAUUCAUUUGAGGUGACUGAGUGGCGGACGGGUGAGUAACGCGUGGGUAACCUGCCUCAUAGAGGGGGACAACAGUUGGAAACGACUGCUAAUACCGCAUAGUAAGAAGAAUUCGCAUGUUUUCUUCUUGAAAGAUUUAUCGCUAUGAGAUGGACCCGCGUCUGAUUAGCUAGUUGGUAAGGUAACGGCUUACCAAGGCGACGAUCAGUAGCCGGCUUGAGAGAGUGAACGGCCACAUUGGGACUGAGACACGGCCCAAACUCCUACGGGAGGCAGCAGUGGGGAAUAUUGCACAAUGGGGGAAACCCUGAUGCAGCGACGCCGCGUGAGUGAAGAAGUAUUUCGGUAUGUAAAGCUCUAUCAGCAGGGAAGAUAAUAACGGUACCUGACUAAGAAGCCCCGGCUAACUACGUG